AUCCAGCUGAAGACGAGUCCCAAAUAGGACAAAACGUUCGUCAAACUGGAU
rfam:Schistosoma mattheei strain Denwood, Zambia genome assembly, scaffold: SMTD_scaffold0003410